rnacentral:rRNA from 1 species
UACGGAGGGAGCUAGCGGUGUUCGGAAUUACUGGGCGUAAAGCGCACGUAGGCGGCUUUUUAAGUCAGGGGUGAAAUCCCGGGGCUCAACCCCGGAACUGCCCUUGAAACUGGGAAGCUAGAAUCUUGGAGAGGCGAGUGGAAUUCCGAGUGUAGAGGUGAAAUUCGUAGAUAUUCGGAAGAACACCAGUGGCGAAGGCGACUCGCUGGACAAGUAUUGACGCGGAGGUGCGAAAGCGUGGGGAGCAAACAGG